UACGUAGGUGGCGAGCGUUGUCCGGAAUUACUGGGUGUAAAGCGCGUGUAGGCGGGAGGCCAAGUCUGUGGUGAAAUCGCUCGGCUUAACUGGGCGGGGUCCAUGGAAACUGGUCACCUGGAGGUCGGUAGAGGCAAGUGGAAUUCCCGGUGUAGUGGUGAAAUGCGUAGAGAUCGGGAGGAACACCAGUGGCGAAGGCGGCUUGCUGGGCCGGACCUGACGCUGAGACGCGAAGGCGUGGGGAGCGAACAGG
rnacentral:rRNA from 1 species